UGGGGAAUAUUGGGCAAUGGGCGAAAGCCUGACCCAGCAACGCCGCGUGAAGGAAGAAGGCUUUCGGGUUGUAAACUUCUUUUGUCAGGGACGAAAAAAAUGACGGUACCUGACGAAUAAGCCACGGCUAACUACGUGCCAGCAGCCGCGGUAAUACGUAGGUGGCAAGCGUUAUCCGGAUUUACUGGGUGUAAAGGGCGUGUAGGCGGGAAAGCAAGUCAGAUGUGAAAACUAUGGGCUCAACCCAUAGCCUGCAUUUGAAACUGUUUUUCUUGAGUACUGGAGAGGCAGAUGGAAUUCCUAGUGUAGCGGUGAAAUGCGUAGAUAUUAGGAGGAACACCAGUGGCGAAGGCGAUCUGCUGGACAGCAACUGACGCUGAGGCGCGAAAGCGUGGGGAGCAAACA
rnacentral:rRNA from 1 species